ensembl:snoRNA SNORD115 Small nucleolar RNA SNORD115
GGGUCUGUGAUGGCAAACCAAUGUCAUGAAGAGAGGUGAUGACAUCAAAAUCAUGAUCAAUAGGAUUACACUGAGGCCC